rnacentral:lncRNA from 1 species
AACAAAGGCAUCAUUAUCAAGUUAAUUGAAUAAUUAAUGCUACUACAAAUGCAAGAGAGUUGAGAGAACAUACCAAGAAAUGUAGAUGGAAAUGCUGAACCAAGCUUAACAAAACAAUGUGAAUGGAAUUAGUCCUGCAACCAAGCCAAGUUUUAAGAACCCUCAAAAACUGAGAGAAUAAGAAUUGAAUUCCCAAACAAAGGAAUCUAAUUCAAUUAAAAAAAGUAAAAUCCUUGUUAUUUGCAAACACCAAAAAAUAUGCCUUAAAAAUCACAAGUGACCCAAAUCAAAAUUCUUUGGUCAGAAAAAAACCAGAGUAGAAUAUGAUGCUUAAAUAGUUACUAGACACUAGAAAGCAUAUAUGAAUUCGGAAAAUUCACCUUCAAGCAUUACAACAAACACUUGAUGUGCAUCAUUUGAAAGAGUACUAGAGCAUAAAAUUAGCAAAGGAAAAAUAUGGGUUACCAUGUCCUAAGUGCAUGACUAUAUAUAUAAAAAUUAAUUUGGGUUUGUU